rnacentral:lncRNA from 1 species
CAGCCUCACUGACACAUCCACUAAGUAAUCCUACUCCAUCCAUCCAUCUAGCCUCUGGAGUGCAACCAAGCUAAACUGAACUAAAGCUACAAAAAUCCCAUUUCAACACCGACGCAGGAGUAGAAUAAAAAUCCCCAUUGGCCCGACGAAGCUAAACUGAACAGAAGCUACAAACAAACCUUACGGAGGCGGCAUCUUCGUCGUGGUCGGGGAAGGCCAGCAAAUAUCUCUUCACACAAUCUGUACAAACUCAGUCAGUUAGUUUAACUUCAGUUCAGUUAAUUGAAAGCAAGAUAGUAGUUAAGCAGCAAAGAGAUUCAGUUAAUUUAAAUCUGGCGUGUGUGUGUUUCGUUUUAGAACCAUAUCUAAGAACACUCCCGACCUGAAUAUCAUCAGUUAUAUCACUGUACAAAUAUCUCUUCACACAAUAUCUCUUUAGAUAUACCCUGGCUGUAAUUUUUAAAUAUCUCUUCACACCCAGAUCGACUCACUUCUCUACAUGUCUCUCCUGCUUCCAUUUUCCAUCUCUCACCUUGAUCAUGUGCCCAAAUUUUGUGACAUUGGUUGCACAAUGACUUGUUCAGAAACACAAUGUGACAUUGGUUCAUCUUCUGCUGGAUAUUUCAGGUGUGGGCACAUGUGCACCUGCUCAAAGUGCGCCCGCGAGCUGCUCCACGGUGCCGGCAAGUGCCCGCUAUGUCGCGCUCUCAUCAUCGAGGUCGUCCGGGCUUACAACAUAUGUUGACAGUGACAGGUAUUUAGAGCACACGGGAAAAAAGCAAACAUAAGCUGUCUACUACUUCAUAUGUUUAUGUUGUGACGGCGGGAGUUGUGUGUGUACUCGCUAGGGGUUUUGCUAGUUUCUGAAACUAGUUCCGACUUUCUCCAUUGUUUUUCCUGUGGCUUCCAUUACCAUGGCGAUGUGCCAUCAUAGAAACUUUUAAUCCAAUAGCCUUGCAAUGCAAUAAGUUAUCAAAGAGAUUAUUUGCUGGAAAUAAGUAUUAGUUCUCCUGCCAUGUGUUAAAUGUCCCUUGGAAUGUUAAUCCAGUGAACUCGAUAUCUGUUGCUCGCUGUCAAUUAACUGCCUUGUUAUGCAUUACAGUAGAGUACAGUGCCAUGAGUAGUUCACAUCAUUGUUUAUCAUGUCUGUUGAUGUGCAGGAAAUUCACCUGUUACUGGAACAUCACCAUCUGAUCCCUAGAACAACAGCAAAGAUGAGGCAACAACAGUUCCUGCUCAGCAGUGAACAUGAGGAGAGCAGCAGGGGAUGGAUGCACCAACAGCAGGGGAUGGAGGCGAUCAACAGGGAAUGGAGGCACCAACACCAGGAGAUGGAGGCACCAGCAGCAGGGGAUGGAUACGAGCAGCAGGGGAUUAAGGCGCCAGCAGCAGUGGAUGGUGGGAGGAGGAAGGAGAUGCAGGUGGAGGGCGUAGGGAGGAGGGACGGGUGG